rnacentral:rRNA from 1 species
UACGUAGGGUGCGAGCGUUGUCCGGAAUUAUUGGGCGUAAAGAGCUCGUAGGCGGUGUGUUACGUCGGCCGUGAAAACCUGCAGCUUAACUGUGGGCGUGCGGUCGAUACGGGCUGACUGGAGUGCGGCAGGGGAGACUGGAAUUCCUGGUGUAGCGGUGAAAUGCGCAGAUAUCAGGAGGAACACCGAUGGCGAAGGCAGGUCUCUGGGCCACUACUGACGCUGAGAAGCGAAAGCAUGGGGAGCGAACAGG